rnacentral:rRNA from 1 species
AUUGAACGCUGGCGGCAGGCCUAACACAUGCAAGUCGAACGGUAACAGGAAACAGCUUGCUGUUUCGCUGACGAGUGGCGGACGGGUGAGUAAUGUCUGGGAAACUGCCUGAUGGAGGGGGAUAACUACUGGAAACGGUAGCUAAUACCGCAUAACGUCGCAAGACCAAAGAGGGGGACCUUCGGGCCUCUUGCCAUCGGAUGUGCCCAGAUGGGAUUAGCUAGUAGGUGGGGUAAUGGCUCACCUAGGCGACGAUCCCUAGCUGGUCUGAGAGGAUGACCAGCCACACUGGAACUGAGACACGGUCCAGACUCCUACGGGAGGCAGCAGUGGGGAAUAUUGCACAAUGGGCGCAAGCCUGAUGCAGCCAUGCCGCGUGUAUGAAGAAGGCCUUCGGGUUGUAAAGUACUUUCAGCGGGGAGGAAGGGAGUAAAGUUAAUACCUUUGCUCAUUGACGUUACCCGCAGAAGAAGCACCGGCUAACUCCGUGCCAGCAGCCGCGGUAAUACGGAGGGUGCAAGCGUUAAUCGGAAUUACUGGGCGUAAAGCGCACGCAGGCGGUUUGUUAAGUCAGAUGUGAAAUCCCCGGGCUCAACCUGGGAACUGCAUCUGAUACUGGCAAGCUUGAGUCUCGUAGAGGGGGGUAGAAUUCCAGGUGUAGCGGUGAAAUGCGUAGAGAUCUGGAGGAAUACCGGUGGCGAAGGCGGCCCCCUGGACGAAGACUGACGCUCAGGUGCGAAAGCGUGGGGAGCAAACAGGAUUAGAUACCCCUGGUAGUCCACGCCGUAAACGAUGUCGACUUGGAGGUUGUGCCCUUGAGGCGUGGCUUCCGGAGCUAACGCGUUAAGUCGACCGCCUGGGGAGUACGGCCGCAAGGUUAAAACUCAAAUGAAUUGACGGGGGCCCGCACAAGCGGUGGAGCAUGUGGUUUAAUUCGAUGCAACGCGAAGAACCUUACCUGGUCUUGACAUCCACAGAACUUUCCAGAGAUGGAUUGGUGCCUUCGGGAACUGUGAGACAGGUGCUGCAUGGCUGUCGUCAGCUCGUGUUGUGAAAUGUUGGGUUAAGUCCCGCAACGAGCGCAACCCUUAUCCUUUGUUGCCAGCGGUCCGGCCGGGAACUCAAAGGAGACUGCCAGUGAUAAACUGGAGGAAGGUGGGGAUGACGUCAAGUCAUCAUGGCCCUUACGACCAGGGCUACACACGUGCUACAAUGGCGCAUACAAAGAGAAGCGACCUCGCGAGAGCAAGCGGACCUCAUAAAGUGCGUCGUAGUCCGGAUUGGAGUCUGCAACUCGACUCCAUGAAGUCGGAAUCGCUAGUAAUCGUGGAUCAGAAUGCCACGGUGAAUACGUUCCCGGGCCUUGUACACACCGCCCGUCACACCAUGGGAGUGGGUUGCAAAAGAAGUAGGUAGCUUAACCUUCGGGAGGGCGCUUACCACUUUGUGAUUCAUGACUGGGGUG